rnacentral:rRNA from 1 species
UACGGAGGGGGCUAGCGUUGUUCGGAAUUACUGGGCGUAAAGCGCACGUAGGCGGACUGUUAAGUCGGGGGUGAAAUCCUGGGGCUCAACCUCAGAAUUGCCUCCGAUACUGGCAGUCUCGAGUGCGGGAGAGGUGAGUGGAAUUCCCAGUGUAGAGGUGAAAUUCGUAGAUAUUGGGAAGAACACCAGUGGCGAAAGCGGCUCACUGGACCACAACUGACGCUGAGGCGCGAAAGCUAGGGGAGCAAACAGG